rnacentral:rRNA from 1 species
GAUGAACGCUGGCGGCGUGCCUAAUACAUGCAAGUCGAGCGAACGGACGAGAAGCUUGCUUCUCUGAUGUUAGCGGCGGACGGGUGAGUAACACGUGGAUAACCUACCUAUAAGACUGGGAUAACUUCGGGAAACCGGAGCUAAUACCGGAUGAUAUUUUGAACCGCAUGGUUCAAAAGUGAAAGACGGUCUUGCUGUCACUUAUAGAUGGAUCCGCGCUGCAUUAGCUAGUUGGUAAGGUAACGGCUUACCAAGGCAACGAUGCAUAGCCGACCUGAGAGGGUGAUCGGCCACACUGGAACUGAGACACGGUCCAGACUCCUACGGGAGGCAGCAGUAGGGAAUCUUCCGCAAUGGGCGAAAGCCUGACGGAGCAGCGCCGCGUGAGUGAUGAAGGUCUUCGGAUCGUAAAACUCUGUUAUUAGGGAAGAACAUAUGUGUAAGCAACUGUGCACAUCUUGACGGUACCUAAUCAGAAAGCCACGGCUAACUACGUG